rnacentral:rRNA from 1 species
UGAGGAAUAUUGGUCAAUGGACGAGAGUCUGAACCAGCCAAGUAGCGUGAAGGAUGACUGCCCUAUGGGUUGUAAACUUCUUUUAUACGGGAAUAAAGUUAGCCACGUGUGGCUUUUUGUAUGUACCGUAUGAAUAAGGAUCGGCUAACUCCGUGCCAGCAGCCGCGGUAAUACGGAGGAUCCGAGCGUUAUCCGGAUUUAUUGGGUUUAAAGGGAGCGUAGGCGGGUUGUUAAGUCAGUUGUGAAAGUUUGCGGCUCAAUCGUAAAAUUGCAGUUGAUACUGGCGACCUUGAGUGCAACAGAGGUAGGCGGAAUUCGUGGUGUAGCGGUGAAAUGCUUAGAUAUCACGAAGAACUCCGAUUGCGAAGGCAGCUUACUGGAUUGUAACUGACGCUGAUGCUCGAAAGUGUGGGUAUCAAACAGGAUUAGAUACCCUGGUAGUCCACACAGUAAACGAUGAAUACUCGCUGUUGGCGAUAUACGGUCAGCGGCCAAGCGAAAGCAUUAAGUAUUCCACCUGGGGAGUACGCCGGCAACGGUGAAACUCAAAGGAAUUGACGGGGGCCCGCACAAGCGGAGGAACAUGUGGUUUAAUUCGAUGAUACGCGAGGAACCUUACCCGGGCUUAAAUUGCAACUGACUGAACCGGAAACGGUUCUUUCUUCGGACAGUUGUGAAGGUGCUGCAUGGUUGUCGUCAGCUCGUGCCGUGAGGUGUCGGCUUAAGUGCCAUAACGAGCGCAACCCUUAUCGAUAGUUACUAGCAGGUCAUGCUGAGGACUCUAUUGAGACUGCCGUCGUAAGAUGUGAGGAAGGUGGGGAUGACGUCAAAUCAGCACGGCCCUUACGUCCGGGGCUACACACGUGUUACAAUGGGGGGUACAGAAGGCAGCUACACGGCGACGUGGUGCUAAUCCCGAAAGCCUCUCUCAGUUCGGAUUGGAGUCUGCAACCCGACUCCAUGAAGCUGGAUUCGCUAGUAAUCGCGCAUCAGCCACGGCGCGGUGAAUACGUUCCC